GCUAGGUCUGGAUGUCUGGUCUUAUAACUAUCUUUUAAAAAUUUUCUCUAAAUGAAGUUGACUUGGCAAAGACAGGGAGUCUAAAAGAUUUAGCUCAUCUGGAACCCAAUCCCAAUCUGACUUCAGCAGACAGCCACCUGCUGAUUGCUACUAGUUAAAUCGUCCCCUUUCAGCUGUUGGCUGUCAAGCAGCAACUAGCACCUGAAUGAAAGGAGAGAAGAGCGAUUGUACUUAAAAAAAAUCUUUGUCCCAUAAUCCACAGUGGCACCAGAUUAUUGGACCCAAAGUGAGUAGCAGACAGUUUCCCAAUCCCUAUGCCAACUGCCAGUUUCCUCAGCCAGGUUUUAAAUUUCAGCUAAUGGCAAGCAAUGGUCUUACCACCCCAGAGAUUCACUGGUGGGGUCAUUGGAGAACUCGAUAGUGUGAUUAGUUGUGGGAGAAAUGUGUUAACUGGACCCAAAUUGUCAUCUGAUACCUAAAAUAUAAAUCUUUUCUGCUGGUUGGGAAAAAAAAGAGCCCAAGGCUUUUUGGAUAGUUUACUUCUCAUUUUCUUGGGCCUCCCAAUUUCUUGGUUCCAGCUGGGUCUGGACAAAAAGCGGCCGAGAUUCCCUGGGAAAGAAUGGUGCUUCUCCUCAGUGUACUUUUCAUCCAGCUGGAGCCAGCAAAUGGUGGAGAGUUCAUGGAACAGCUUGUUAUUGCCAGGUUUCCAGCCCAGUGGAGCAGCUCACAGAAAGGCUAAGAGUUCACCAAAAGUUUGGAUAAACAUUUUAGCUUCUGGGUGUCUCACUGAUUGGGAAACUCAAGAGGGAAAUCUGGGGACUACAGACAAAAUCACUUUUUGGCAGCCAGAUUUUUAUUUACAGCGGGCAAUUCCCAAUGCACACUUUUUCUCAUAGUAACAAUAGAAACAACCAAAAGCAACUUGGGAAGAAAAAUUAUCCAACAAAUUGUGAAAAACUCCACACCCAUAGUCCUCCACCUUCGGACUGAGACAGAGUUUAUCCUAAAAGUUAAUUUUUAAAAGUAGAGAAGGUGAGAACAGGAUGAGGAGGAUGGACAUUUGAGGGGGCAUGAAGACAGAAAAGAAUGAAAAAAGAUAAGAGAGACAUGAGGCAGAAAAAAAAUCCUCUCCAUUCCACAAUUUUAUACAGGUACCAACCAUGUUAACCAAAUAUAUCCUUGAUUACAAAUGUAAUUUUUUUUUUAAAUCCAAGUUUAGAGACUGGACUCUCCUUUACUUUCCUCUCCUUGUAAUAGGUGAAAGGGGAAAAAGGAGUCUGGAUAUUUUGGGGGAAACACUUGAGUAAUUAAAGAAAAAAGAAUCCUUUUAUUCUGCUUCUAGAAGUUAUAAAGGAACAUCAAAACAGGACACUUCUGUUUUUGAGAGGACCGAUGUUGAAGUAGACCUGGAAUGCUCAUGCCAUUUCUUUACCAUCAUCAACCUUGAUUAGAAAUAAGAUACAUGUGAGUAUUUCACAUACAUUCAGCCUUUUAAAAUAUUUCUGAUUACUCCAGUGGGGUGGGAAGUGCCUAUUGUUUCAACUCUCAGAACAGCAUAAAAAAUAACAGAUUUCUAGAGGAGUAUUUUGGUAUUUUCUGAAAAAUUUGGGUCAGAAGAAGGUGGCACAGGAAUUUUUCAUGCAAAAAACUUAUGAAAUUUGUGUAAUUCAAAUGAAGAAAAGAUUGUCAAGGAUUUUCUUUUUCCUGUUAAUUCUGAUUUGCUGAUUGAAGAAAUAAGAAUUACCUUUCUAGCCUUGAAAAGAGUAACCAGACAUAUCAAGAGGGAUAAACUGACCCACUUGAACAAUUAGUUAGCCUUGAUAGCCAAAUAUUUUACAGCCCAACAAAAUUAAUUUCUCUACAAUUUCAGUUGCUCAAUACGACGAGGCUUUGAUGGCAGGGCAGAGAGAAGAAUUGAGAUCUGAUCCCUUCUCACUACAUCAACCACAAAUAGGAUUAAGUUUUCUAGGUGGUUUAAAAAAAAAUCCUUCCAAAAUGGGGAGGUGAAUCUAAGAAAUUAGAAAACUUCCCAUAGUUGGGUUUAGAAUAACUUUAAAAAUCUGAUUGAAAAGUUUGAAAAAUGUGAUGUUAAUGUUAAUCCUUCAAAUGUCAUCUUUUGAGAAUAAAAAAUAUUCAGCCAUUAGCUUGGGAAAGUCU
rnacentral:lncRNA from 1 species